CAACCUCAACUCAUAUGGGACUACCCCCUGAAUUUAAGCAUAUUAAUUAGGGGAGGAAAAGAAACUAACAAGGAUUUUCUUAGUAGCGGCGAGCGAAAAGAAAUCAGUUCAGCACUAAGUCACUUUGUCUAUAUGGCAAAUGUGAGAUGCAGUGUAUGGAGCGUCAAUAUUCUAGUAUGAGAAAUUAACGAUUUAAGUCCUUCUUAAAUGAGGCCAUUUACCCAUAGAGGGUGCCAGGCCCGUAUAACGUUAAUGAUUACUAGAUGAUGUUUCCAAAGAGUCGUGUUGCUUGAUAGUGCAGCACUAAGUGGGUGGUAAACUCCAUCUAAAACUAAAUAUAACCAUGAGACCGAUAGUAAACAAGUACCGUGAGGGAAAGUUGAAAAGAACUCUGAAUAGAGAGUUAAACAGUACGUGAAACUGCUUAGAGGUUAAGCCCGAUGAACCUGAAUAUCCGUUAUGGAAAAUUCAUCAUUAGAAUUGUAAUAUUUAAACAAUAUUAUGAUAAUAGUGUGCAUUUUUUCCAUAUAAGGACAUUGUAAUCUAUUAGCAUACCAAAUUUAUCAUAAAAUAUAACUUAUAGUUUAUUCAAAUUAAUUUGCUUGCAUUUUAACACAGAAUAAAUGUUAUUAAUUUGAUAAAGUGCUGAUAGAUUUAUAUGAAUACAGUGCGUUAAUUUUUCGGAAUUAUAUAAUGGCAUAAUUAUCAUUGAUUUUUGUGUUUAUUAUAUGCACUUGUAGGAUUAACAAUGCGAAAGAUUCAGGAUACCUUCGGGACCCGUCUUGAAACACGGACCAAGGAGUCUAACAUAUGUGCAAGUUAUUGGGAUAUAAACCUAAUAGCGUAAUUAACUUGACUAAUAAUGGGAUUAGUUUUUUAACUAUUUAUAGCUAAUUAACACAAUCCCGGGGCGUUCUAUAUAGUUAUGUAUAAUGAUAUUUAUAUUAUUUAUGCCUCUAACUGGAACGUACCUUGAGCAUAUAUGCUGUGACCCGAAAGAUGGUGAACUAUACUUGAUCAGGUUGAAGUCAGGGGAAACCCUGAUGGAAGACCGAAACAGUUCUGACGUGCAAAUCGAUUGUCAGAAUUGAGUAUAGGGGCGAAAGACCAAUCGAACCAUCUAGUAGCUGGUUCCUUCCGAAGUUUCCCUCAGGAUAGCUGGUGCAUUUUAAUAUUAUAUAAAAUAAUCUUAUCUGGUAAAGCGAAUGAUUAGAGGCCUUAGGGUCGAAACGAUCUUAACCUAUUCUCAAACUUUAAAUGGGUAAGAACCUUAACUUUCUUGAUAUGAAGUUCAAGGUUAUGAUAUAAUGUGCCCAGUGGGCCACUUUUGGUAAGCAGAACUGGCGCUGUGGGAUGAACCAAACGUAAUGUUACGGUGCCCAAAUUAACAACUCAUGCAGAUACCAUGAAAGGCGUUGGUUGCUUAAAACAGCAGGACGGUGAUCAUGGAAGUCGAAAUCCGCUAAGGAGUGUGUAACAACUCACCUGCCGAAGCAACUAGCCCUUAAAAUGGAUGGCGCUUAAGUUGUAUACCUAUACAUUACCGCUAAAGUAGAUGAUUUAUAUUACUUGUAAUAUAAAUUUUGAAACUUUAGUGAGUAGGAAGGUACAAUGGUAUGCGUAGAAGUGUUUGGCGUAAGCCUGCAUGGAGCUGCCAUUGGUACAGAUCUUGGUGGUAGUAGCAAAUAAUCGAAUGAGACCUUGGAGGACUGAAGUGGAGAAGGGUUUCGUGUGAACAGUGGUUGAUCACGAGUUAGUCGGUCCUAAGUUCAAGGCGAAAGCCGAAAAUUUUCAAGUAAAAUACAAAUGCCAAACAAAUAUAUAUAUUAUAUAAAAUCUAGCUAAAUUAAUAUACUUGAAUAAUUUUGAACGAAAGGGAAUACGGUUCCAAUUCCGUAACCUGUUGAGUAUCCGUUUGUUAUUAAAUAUGGGCCUCGUGCUCAUCCUGGCAACAGGAACGACCAUAAAGAAGCCGUCGAGAGAUAUCGGAAGAGUUUUCUUUUCUGUUUUAUAGCCGUACUACCAUGGAAGUCUUUCGCAGAGAGAUAUGGUAGAUGGGCUAGAAGAGCAUGACAUAUACUGUUGUGUCGAUAUUUUCUCCUCGGACCUUGAAAAUUUAUGGUGGGGACACGCAAACUUCUCAACAGGCCGUACCAAUAUCCGCAGCUGGUCUCCAAGGUGAAGAGUCUCUAGUCGAUAGAAUAAUGUAGGUAAGGGAAGUCGGCAAAUUAGAUCCGUAACUUCGGGAUAAGGAUUGGCUCUGAAGAUUGAGAUAGUCGGGCUUGAUUGGGAAACAAUAACAUGGUUUAUGUGCUCGUUCUGGGUAAAUAGAGUUUCUAGCAUUUAUGUUAGUUACUUGUUCCCCGGAUAGUUUAGUUACGUAGCCAAUUGUGGAACUUUCUUGCUAAAAUUUUUAAGAAUACUAAUUGGGUUAAACCAAUUAGUUCUUAUUAAUUAUAACGAUUAUCAAUUAACAAUCAAUUCAGAACUGGCACGGACUUGGGGAAUCCGACUGUCUAAUUAAAACAAAGCAUUGUGAUGGCCCUAGCGGGUGUUGACACAAUGUGAUUUCUGCCCAGUGCUCUGAAUGUCAAAGUGAAGAAAUUCAAGUAAGCGCGGGUCAACGGCGGGAGUAACUAUGACUCUCUUAAGGUAGCCAAAUGCCUCGUCAUCUAAUUAGUGACGCGCAUGAAUGGAUUAACGAGAUUCCUACUGUCCCUAUCUAGCUUCUAGUCCAGGGCGUUGGUUUGGCGCUUAACCCAGACCCUUGCAUUAUAUACUCCCUUGUGGGUAUAUUAGAAUGCCGUGGCUGUAAUCCCUUCAGUGCGGAACACGUCACGUUAAAUAAGUUCGGAGGGAUCCGAGACACACCUGUCCCUAUCUACUAUCUAGCGAAACCACAGCCAAGGGAACGGGCUUGGAAUAAUUAGCGGGGAAAGAAGACCCUUUUGAGCUUGACUCUAAUCUGGCAGUGUAAGGAGACAUAAGAGGUGUAGAAUAAGUGGGAGAUAUUAGACCUCGGUUUGGUAUCGCCAAUGAAAUACCACUACUCUUAUUGUUUCCUUACUUACUUGAUUAAAUGGAACGUGUAUCAUUUCCUAGCCAUUAUACGGAUAUAUUUAUUAUAUCUUAUGGUAUUGGGUUUUGAUGCAAGCUUCUUGAUCAAAGUAUCACGAGUUUGUUAUAUAAUCGCAAACAAAUUCUUUAAUAAAACGGUGCAUUUAUGUAUUUUUGAUUUGAAAAUUUGGUAUAACUCCAAUUACUCAGGUAUGAUCCAAUUCAAGGACAUUGCCAGGUAGGGAGUUUGACUGGGGCGGUACAUCUCUCAAAUAAUAACGGAGGUGUCCCAAGGCCAGCUCAGUGCGGACAGAAACCACACAUAGAGCAAAAGGGCAAAUGCUGACUUGAUCUCGGUGUUCAGUACACACAGGGACAGCAAAAGCUCGGCCUAUCGAUCCUUUUGGUUUAAAGAGUUUUUAACAAGAGGUGUCAGAAAAGUUACCAUAGGGAUAACUGGCUUGUGGCGGCCAAGCGUUCAUAGCGACGUCGCUUUUUGAUCCUUCGAUGUCGGCUCUUCCUAUCAUUGUGAAGCAAAAUUCACCAAGCGUUGGAUUGUUCACCCAUGCAAGGGAACGUGAGCUGGGUUUAGACCGUCGUGAGACAGGUUAGUUUUACCCUACUAAUGACAAAACGUUGUUGCGACAGCAUUCCUGCGUAGUACGAGAGGAACCGCAGGUACGGACCAAUGGCACAAUACUUGUUCGAGCGAACAGUGGUAUGACGCUACGUCCGUUGGAUUAUGCCUGAACGCCUCUAAGGUCGUAUCCGUGCUGGACUGCAAUGAUAAAUAAGGGGCAAUUUGCAUUGUAUGGCUUCUAAACCAUUUAAAGUUUAUAAUUUACUUUUUAAACGACAAUGGAUGUGAUGCCAAUGUAAUUUGUAACAUAGUAAAUUGGGAGGAUCUUUGAUCACCUGAUGCCGCGCUAGUUACAUAUAAAAGCAUUAUUUAAUACAAUGACAAAGCCUAGAAUCAAUUGUAAACGACUUUUGUAACAGGCAAGGUGUUGUAAGUGGUUGAGCAGCUGCCAUACUGCGAUCCACUGAAGCUUAUCCUUUGCUUGAUGAUUCGA